rnacentral:rRNA from 1 species
GACGAACGCUGGCGGCGUGCCUAAUACAUGCAAGUUGAGCGAUGAAGAUUGGUGCUUGCACCAAUUUGAAGAGCAGCGAACGGGUGAGUAACGCGUGGGGAAUCUGCCUUUGAGCGGGGGACAACAUUUGGAAACGAAUGCUAAUACCGCAUAACAACUUUAAACAUAAGUUUUAAGUUUGAAAGAUGCAAUUGCAUCACUCAAAGAUGAUCCCGCGUUGUAUUAGCUAGUUGGUGAGGUAAAGGCUCACCAAGGCGAUGAUACAUAGCCGACCUGAGAGGGUGAUCGGCCGCAGUGGGACGGAGACAAGGCCCAAACUCCUACGGGAGGCAGCAGUAGGGAAUCUUCGGCAAUGGACGAAAGUCUGACCGAGCAACGCCGCGUGAGGGAAGAAGGGUGUCGGAUCGUAAAACUCUGUUGGUAGAGAAGAACGUUGGUGAGAGUGGAAAGCUCAUCAAGUGACGGUAACUACCCAGAAAGGGACGGCUAACUACGUG